rnacentral:rRNA from 1 species
UACAGAGGUCCCCGAGCGUUGUUCGGAUUCACUGGGCGUAAAGGGUGCGUAGGUGGUGAGGUAAGUCGGAUGUGAAAUCUCGGGGCUUAACUCCGAAACUGCAUUCGAUACUGCCGUGCUUUGAGGACUGGAGAGGAGACUGGAAUUUACGGUGUAGCGGUGAAAUGCGUAGAUAUCGUAAGGAAGACCAGUGGCGAAGGCGGGUCUCUGGACAGUUCCUGACGCUGAGCACGAAGGCCAGGGGAGCAAACGGG